AGUGGGAUAGCUGGCUCAAAUGAUGUUACAUUCCAAGUUUUUAAGGAAUCUCCAUACUGCUUUCCAGAUUGGUUGCACCCAAUUGCCAUCCCACCAGCAAU
rnacentral:pre_miRNA from 1 species